rnacentral:sRNA from 1 species
CUGGCUCUUUUUAUGAAUUUGGAAGUUUUUAGACUAGGUGGUUGUAGUGUUGCCUCCCGGGUGUUAGGAUCCCUGGGCGUCACCUCUCAGCUCCUGCUUUCCAUUUCCUCAUCAUAAACCCUGUUUUUGUUCUCACUGUGACCCUGUUCUGCUUUGACCCUACAGCUCCCUACCACCUUUGUGGUUUUUUUCUUUUCAGAAAGCUUAGGGUGGUAAAUGCUUUUGGCCAUUAUUGUUCAUACUCAUUUAUUCAGAUACCAUUUAUUAAUAGUAAGCCCCUGCUUUGUGUAAGCACUUUGUUAGACACUAGGGUGCUCCUUUGACCCCCCAUCCCACUCCAUUGUGAGCUGGCUCUUGUCCUCAGGGUCCUGCUCAACAUCAUGUACCUGAUAGUGGAGACCGUUCAUCAGGAGUGUGAGGGUGACAAGGCUGAGUGGAGGACCAUGCGGCAGACCUUCAGAGCCGAGCUGGGUAGGACCCUGGGGAUCCUCUCUAGAGGCCCUGCCUGGAAGCUGAGGCGGAAGGCUUUGAGAGGGUCCUGAUACCUUUGUGUCACCUCCAGGCUCCCCGCUGUACAACAAUGAGCCAUUUGCCAUCAUGCUGUUUGGGAUGGUGACCAAAUUUUGCAGUGGUCACGCCCCUCACUUUCCCAUGAAGAAAGUUCUCUUGCUGCUCUGGAAGACAGUAUUGUGCACGCUAGGCGGCUUUGAGGAGCUGCAGAGCAUGAAGGCUGAGAAGCGCAGCAUCCUGGGCCUCCCCCCGCUUCCUGAGGACAGCAUCAAAGUGAUUCGCAACAUGAGAGCAGCCUCUCCACCAGCAUCUGCUUCAGACUUGAUUGAGCAGCAGCAGAAACGGGGCCGCCGAGAGCACAAGGCUCUGAUAAAGCAGGACAACCUAGAUGCCUUCAAUGAGCGGGAUCCCUACAAGGCUGAUGACUCUCGAGAAGAGGAAGAGGAGAAUGAUGAUGACAACAGUCUGGAGGGGGAGACGUUUCCCCUGGAACGGGAUGAAGUGAUGCCUCCCCCGCUACAGCACCCACAGACUGACAGGCUGACUUGCCCCAAAGGGCUCCCGUGGGCUCCCAAGGUCAGAGAGAAAGACAUUGAGAUGUUCCUUGAGUCCAGCCGCAGCAAAUUUAUAGGUUACACUCUAGGCAGUGACACGAACACAGUGGUGGGGCUGCCCAGGCCAAUCCACGAAAGCAUCAAGACUCUGAAACAGCACAAGUACACGUCGAUUGCAGAGGUCCAGGCACAGAUGGAGGAGGAAUAUCUCCGCUCCCCUCUCUCAGGGGGAGAAGAAGAAGUUGAGCAAGUCCCUGCAGAAACACUCUACCAAGGCUUGCUCCCCAGCCUGCCUCAGUAUAUGAUUGCCCUCCUGAAGAUCCUGUUGGCUGCAGCACCCACCUCAAAAGCCAAAACAGACUCAAUCAACAUCCUAGCGGACGUCUUGCCUGAGGAGAUGCCCACCACAGUGUUGCAGAGCAUGAAGCUGGGGGUGGACGUAAACCGCCACAAAGAGGUCAUUGUUAAGGCCAUUUCUGCUGUCCUGCUGCUGCUGCUCAAGCACUUUAAGUUGAACCAUGUCUACCAGGUACCCACAGGGCUUUCCCUCCUGUCCUGUGGGCUGGGGCCUCGGGCACUGCUGCUCCUCCAGCCCACAAGAACGGGGGCCUUGGCCUUUGACCCACUUGAACUCUGCAUGAAUGUUCUAAGACAUGGCCCUUCAGCCAAGGCCUUUCAUCCCUGGAGGAAAGAGGGCAAGGUCCCAAGGGCCGCGCCUUUUUUUUUUUUUUUUUUUUUUCCUGUUGGCUUCAGUUUGAAUACAUGGCCCAGCACCUGGUGUUUGCCAACUGCAUUCCUUUGAUCCUAAAGUUCUUCAAUCAAAACAUCAUGUCCUACAUCACUGCCAAGAACAGGUGAUGAGGGCCAGGGACCACGAAGGGGUGGAUAUGGUCAGACGGCAGAGUUCCCAGCUGGUAUUUCCCACUGUGUCUAUUUUUCCAGCACCUACGAGCCAGCACUGUGCUAGGCAUCAAGACAUAAAGAUAAAUGAGACAUGGCCUCUGCCUGUGGAGAGCCCACUGUGUCAAAUCUGAGUCUAGCUAGUCCUGCCCCAGGUGACUUGGUCUGUGCCUGGGCAGGAGGGUUUUCAUCCCAGGAUCUAGUACUUUCCUCCCUGUCCCUUCUGUACUUUUUUUUUUUUUUUUUUUUUUUUGAGGAGUCCAUGGGCUGCUUGCUCUCUCUAAGGGGCUCGGCCAUGUGCCUUGUAAUGCCCUAUCUGCUGACUCUUAGCCCCUGCUGUUGGCCUGGUGCCAGCUGUGCUUGACAUUACUUGCUCGUCAGUGUGAUAUACCACAGGGCGCCGGCCAGACCCUGUCUCCAGAAAGGUUUGGCAUAAAUUAGUUGCCCUGAGCGAUCUCCUCCCCCGCCCCACAUUCAUUGCUGUGGGGGAAGCUGUGAGGGUCUCUGCCCCUUACAAGAUCAACAAACUGGCCUCUGGCUACAGGGGUGCCUUACAAGUUCUCUUGUAACAGAUAUUUCCUCAUCUUAUAGGUGGGGAAACUGGGGUGGGACACACCAGAUAGAUUCCUACUUCUGCUCCAACAAGUGAGGGAGGAAAGCUGGGAGCUGGCUCAGGCACGGCUGCUCCACCAGGCCCUGGGCCUUUGCUCAUGGUGGGCACCUGGGUCCUCUCCCCUCUGCAGCAUUUCUGUCCUGGAUUACCCUCACUGCGUGGUGCAUGAGCUGCCAGAGCUGACUGCGGAGAGUUUGGAAGCAGGUGACAGUAACCAAUUUUGCUGGAGGAACCUCUUUUCUUGUAUCAAUCUGCUUCGGAUCUUGAACAAGCUGACAAAGUGGAAGCAUUCAAGGACAAUGAUGCUGGUGGUGUUCAAGUCAGCCCCCAUCUUGAAGCGGGCCCUAAAGGUGAAACAAGCCAUGAUGCAGCUCUAUGUGCUGAAGCUGCUCAAGGUACAGACCAAAUACUUGGGGCGGCAGUGGCGAAAGAGCAACAUGAAGACCAUGUCUGCCAUCUACCAGAAGGUGCGGCAUCGGCUGAACGACGACUGGGCAUACGGCAAUGAUCUUGAUGCCCGGCCUUGGGACUUCCAGGCAGAGGAGUGUGCCCUUCGUGCCAACAUUGAACGCUUCAACGCCCGGCGCUAUGACCGGGCCCACAGCAAUCCUGACUUCCUGCCAGUGGACAACUGCCUGCAGAGUGUCCUGGGCCAACGGGUGGACCUCCCUGAAGACUUUCAGAUGAACUAUGACCUCUGGUUAGAAAGGGAGGUCUUCUCCAAGCCCAUUUCCUGGGAAGAGCUGCUGCAGUGAGGCUGUUGGUUAGGGGACUGAAAUGGAGAGAAAAGAUGAUCUCAAGGUACCUGCGGGACUGUCCUAGUUCAUUGCUGCAGUGCUCCCAUCCCCCACCAGGUGGCAGCACAGCCCCACUGUGUCUUCCGCAGUCUGUCCUGGGCUUGGGUGAGCCCAGCUUGACCUCCCCUUGGUUCCCAGGGUCCUGCUCCGAAGCAGUCAUCUCUGCCUGAGAUCCAUUCUUCCUUUACUUCCCCCACCCUCCUCUCUUGGAUAUGGUUGGUUUUGGCUCAUUUCACAAUCAGCCCAAGGCUGGGAAAGCUGGAAUGGGAUGGGAACCCCUCCGCCGUGCAUCUGAAUUUCAGGGGUCAUGCUGAUGCCUCUCGAGACACACAAAUCCUUGCUUUGUCAGCUUGCAAAGGAGGAGAGUUUAGGAUUAGGGCCAGGGCCAGAAAGUCGGUAUCUUGGUUGUGCUCUGGGGUGGGGGUGGGGUGUUUCUGAUGUUAUUCCAGCCUCCUGCUACGUUAUAUCCAGAAGUAAUUGCGGAGGCUCCUUCAGCUGCCUCAGCACUUUGAUUUUGGACAGGGACAAGGUAGGAAGAGAAGCUUCCCUUAACCAGAGGGGCCAUUUUUCCUUUUGGCUUUCGAGGGCCUGUAAAUAUCUAUAUAUAAUUCUGUGUGUAUUCUGUGUCAUGUUGGGGUUUUUAAUGUGUUUGUGUAUUCUGUUUACAUUAAAAAGAAGCAAAAAUAAUUCCCGUUGGCUUGUCUACAGGAAAUAUGGCCUCUACGUAUCUCCUCCAGGUCUAGAAAGUGGUUUUUUCCGCUAGCAUUGCUGGUCAACGCUUGUCCUUGUCAAGCUGCCUGCCUUUCCCAUCCUGGGGGAAGAGGAGAGGGAGUUGGCAUUUAUCCAGUUUAUCAAGAAGUUUACUGUGGAGGAUGCAAAUAUUACCCAGGAAAAUGUCACCAGCAAUUUAAACAAGGCAGCCUGGAUCAAAGGCUGAGUCUUCUGCCUCCCAUGACAACCUUGCUGAGCCUCAGUUUCCUCAUCAGAAAGGAGAGCCUACCAUGUGAUCCCCAUUUGCUGGUACCAGGAUACAGUGGCACACACGACAUGUGAUCCCUGCCUUCACAGUGCUUACACUUUGCUGGAAUGGAAGUGUCUCAUCCACGUUGAAGAAAAUCAUCCUCAUUUGGCUGUGAAUUAGAAUAGAAUCUGGUCUUGUGAGAAGAGUUCCUGGCUCUGGGCCUCAACUGUAAGGUCAGUUCUUCAUUUAGGGAAACAUCAGCCCCAGCACCACUUUCCGUUUCAUUCUCUGCUUCCCUCAGCCUGCACCACAGGAAGGACAUGUGCUUCUUUUUCCCCCAGUGGAUUUCCAGAAGGGAUAGGGACGAUGAGAAAGAGGUAACCUCAGAUCUGAGAUUUGCUUGACAUACACAAAAUUUCCUUCCAACAGGGAAAACUCAGUUGCUUUUUUUCCUUCAAACGAAAGACAGUUGGUAUUACCUUUGUCCUGUUUAGAUACUGAAAUCCUAAAUUGAUUCAUAUAAAAAUUCUGGGUUUGGGAACCC